CACCACACCCCCAAUUCUUCUCCUCCUCUAUUUGAGUAUAUUGAAGUGUGUGUAUGUGUUUGCGUUUUUAUAACCCAAUUCUUCCCAACUCUCUCUCUAUCUUUACAUUGUAUCCUCUGUACCGUGUUUGUGUUCCGAGAAAAUCAAAAAGUAAAACUUGUUUUCAAUCGUUAGUAUUCCCUCCUUGUGUUGCACAAACACGUGUAAUCUUCACACCGAGGAUUCUUUCUUUGUUUUGUUUGUUUUUUGAAAGCUUGGUUUGGAAGACUUUGGUAUUCAGCAACUCAACGAUCUCUCUCCCUGCAAAUUUUCGCUUCGAUAAUAUUAACGUAUUCCCUGUGAUUUCUCUGGACGUUGCUUCAUCUUCAAGUAACGAGAAUUACUUGUGCGUUUUUUUUUUCUUGUCACGAUUUGGCUCUUCAGAGGUGAUCUGUUCGAGAGGAUUUUGCUUUCCAUCGGAGUCGGAAGCAUGAUUUUCUCUUGAAGAGAGAAGAACUUCGCUUGCAGAGAUGAAGAGGUCCAGAGACGACGUUUACAUGGCCUCUCAACUUAAACGGCCUAUGGCUUCUUCUAGAGGAGAACCGUCUGGGCAGCCCCAGAUGAUGGGAGGGGGAAAUACACAGAAACUGACAACAAAUGAUGCCCUAGCCUAUCUCAAGGCGGUGAAGGACAUAUUUCAAGACAAAAGGGAAAAAUACGAUGAUUUUCUUGAAGUCAUGAAAGAUUUCAAGGCUCAAAGAAUUGACACUACGGGUGUCAUAGCAAGGGUAAAGGAAUUAUUUAAAGGGCAUCGAGACCUAAUUUUGGGUUUCAAUACCUUUUUGCCAAAGGGAUAUGAGAUCACCCUCCCACGUGAGGAUGAACAACCUCAACCAAAGAAACCCGUGGAAUUUGAAGAAGCUAUAAGUUUUGUUAACAAGAUAAAGACACGAUUUCAAGGUGAUGAUCACGUUUAUAAGUCAUUUUUGGACAUUUUAAAUAUGUACAGAAAGGAAAAUAAGUCCAUCACUGAGGUCUACCAGGAGGUUGCUGCACUUUUCCAAGAUCACGAAGACCUGCUUGAUGAGUUCACCCAUUUUCUGCCGGAUACCUCAGCAACAGCCCCCACACCAUAUGCUCAAUCUGGUCGGAAUUCAAUGCUCCGGGAUAGAACUUCUGCCAUACCUAUCAUGCGGCCAAUGCAUGUUGACAAGAAAGAAAGGGUAAUGGCUUCAAAUGGUGAACGUGACCUCAGUGUUGACCGGCCUGAUCCAGACAAUGAUAGAUCUUUGAUGAGAGUGGAGAAAGAGCAACGGAGGCAUGGUGAAAAGGAUAGGCGAGAAGACAGGGAUAGGAGAGAACGGGAAAGGGAUGAUAGAGAAUUUGAGCAUGAUGGCAGUAGGGACUUCAACAUGCAACGUUUUCCCCACAAACGAAAACCUUCUCGUAGGAUUGAUGACUCUGCCGACCAAUUACAUCAAGGUGGGGACGGCGAUGAGAACUUUGGAGUGCGUCCUAUUUCAUCCUCCUAUGAAGAUAAGGGUUCCUUGAAAAGUAUGUAUGGUCCAGAGUUUGCCUUUUGCGAGAAAGUGAAGGAGAAAUUACGAAACCCUGAUGAUUACCAGGAAUUUUUAAAGUGCCUUCAUAUUUAUAGCAAGGAAAUAAUUACACGAACAGAAUUGCAAUCUUUGGUGGCUGAUUUACUUGGAAGAUAUCCGGAUCUUAUGGAUGGAUUUAAUGAAUUCUUGGCACGUUGUGAGAAGAAUGAUGCUCUCCUUGCUGGUGUCAUGAGUAAAAAAGCUUUGUGGAUUGAUGGACCUUCACCCAGACCUGUAAAGAUAGAGGAUAGGGACAAAGAUCGAGAUCGUGAAAAGGAUGACAGGGUGAAAGAUAGAGACUGUGAAAACCGAGAAAGGGAUAGAGUUGAAAACCGGGAAAGGGAUAGACUUGAAAAAAGUUCUGCCUUUGGCAAUAAAGAUGUUGGGGGUCAUAAGAUGACAUUAUUUUCCAGCAAGGAUAAGUAUAUGGCAAAACCUAUUAAUGAACUUGACCUAUCCAAUUGUGAGCGCUGCACUCCCAGUUACCGUCUGCUGCCAAAGCAUUAUCUAAUACCUUCAGCUAGCCAUAGAACAGAACUUGGGGCUGAAGUAUUGAACGAUCAUUGGGUGUCUGUCACAUCAGGAAGUGAGGAUUACUCUUUUAAACAUAUGCGCAAAAAUCAGUAUGAAGAAAGCUUGUUUCGUUGUGAAGAUGACAGGUUUGAACUGGACAUGUUGUUAGAGUCUGUAAAUGUAACAACCAAGCGUGUAGAAGAGCUAUUGGAAAAGAUCAACAACAAUACAUUGAAGACAGACAGUCCAGUUCGUGUUGAGGAACACUUCACAGCAUUGAAUCUCAGGUGCAUUGAACGUUUAUAUGGUGACCAUGGACUUGAUGUGAUGGAUGUGUUGAAGAAGAAUGCACCUCUUGCUUUGCCAGUUAUACUAACGCGUCUGAAGCAGAAACAAGAAGAGUGGGCACGGUGUCGCUCUGAUUUUAAUAAAGUCUGGGCUGAAAUUUAUGCCAAGAAUUAUCACAAAUCGCUUGAUCAUCGUAGCUUCUAUUUCAAGCAACAGGACACAAAGAGCUUGAGCACAAAAGCCUUAUUGAUGGAGAUUAAAGAAAUUAGUGAGAAGAAGCGCAAGGAAGAUGAUGUGCUACUUGCUAUUGCUGCUGGAAAUAGGCGACCAAUCAUUCCGAAUUUGGAAUUUGAGUACCCUGAUCCUGACAUCCAUGAAGAUCUAUAUCAGCUCAUUAAGUACUCCUGUGGAGAAGUUUGUACUAGUGAACAGUUGGAUAAAGUUAUGAAGAUUUGGACAACAUUUCUGGAACCCAUGCUUGGUGUUCCUUCUCGUCCUCAGGGUGCAGAGGAUACUGGAGAUGUUGUUAAGGCAAAGAGUGAUUCUGUCAAAAGUGGUGCUGCAACUGCAGGGGAAAUUGAUCUCAGUGCUGGUGGCAGUGCUAAUGCGAUAAAUCCUAAACAUUUAAAUCCUUCCAGAAAUGGAGAUGAGAGUAAUGCACCAGAACAAUCAAGUUCUUGCAGGGCUUGGCCAGUAAAUGGGGAUAAUGGAGUUAAAGAAGAUUGUCCUCUUGAUGAAGAACAUAAUGUACAUAAGAAAGAUGCUUCAUGUGAUACCCCUCCACAUGGUAAAGUACAGAUCAAUGCAUCUAUGCCUGAUGAACUAUCCAGAGUCAGCAAGCAGGAUAAAUCCAAUGAACAGUUAGGCAAUUCAAAUGCAUUGCUUGCCUCUGGAGUGGAGCAAAGUAAUGGAAGAACUACCAUAGAGAACACAUCAGAAGGACUUGGUGCUACUCCAUCCAGACCGAGCAAUGAUGUUGUUGAGGGUGGGGUCGAGUUACCUCCAUCUGAGGGUGGUGAUUCUACAAGACCAAUUAUAUCCACGAAUGGGGUGAUGUCAGAUGGCAUCAAAGUUCGCAGAUACCAUGAAGAAUCUGUUGGACACUUCAAAGUUGAAAGAGAAGAGGGUGAAGUAUCUCCAAAUGGAGAUUUUGAGGAAGAUAAUUUUGCAGUUUAUAGAGAUGCUGGUUUAGAGGUCGUGCAGAAAGCAAAGGAUGGUGCUGUAGGCAGGCAAUAUCCAACUAGACAUGGAGAAGAAAAUAUAUGUGGUGCAGAGGCAGGAGAAAAUGAUGCUGAUGCCGACGAUGAAGGUGAGGAAAGUGCUCAGAGGUCUUCAGAUGACACUGAGAAUGCCUCUGAGAAUGGGGACGUAUCAGGAAGUGAGUCUGCUGAUGGUGAGGAGUGUUCUCGUGAAGAGCAUGAGGAAGAUGGAGAUCAUGAUGAACAUGAUAAUAAGGCUGAGAGUGAAGGUGAAGCUGAAGGGAUGGCUGAUGCACAUGAUGUUGAAGGGGAUGGGACAUCACUCCCAUAUUCAGAACGUUUUCUUCUUACCGUGAAGCCUCUGGCUAAGCAUGUCCCUUCAGCAUCACAUGAGAAAGAAAAGGAUUCUCGCGUGUUUUAUGGAAAUGACUCCUUCUAUGUGCUUCUUAGGCUUCACCAAACAUUAUAUGAGAGAAUACAAUCAGCAAAGGUUAAUUCAUCAUCUGCUGAACGGAAAUGGAGGGCUUCAAAUGAUUCAAGCCCUACUGAUCUUUAUGCCAGAUUCAUGAUAGCGCUUUACAAUUUACUUGAUGGUUCUUCUGACAAUACAAAGUUCGAGGAUGAUUGCCGAGCUAUUAUUGGAACUCAGUCAUACGUUUUAUUCACGUUAGACAAGCUGAUAUAUAAACUUGUUAAACAACUUCAAACACUUGCCACUGAUGAGAUGGACAACAAGCUUCUCCAACUAUAUGCAUAUGAAAAAUCAAGAAAACCUGGACGAUUUGUUGAUAUGGUUUAUCACGAAAACGCCCGUGUUCUUCUUCAUGAUGAGAACAUAUAUCGUAUUGAAUGUUCAUCGACACCAACCCAUUUGUCUAUUCAGCUUAUGGACUACGGACAUGAUAAGCCCGAAGUGACUGCUGUUUCCAUGGACCCUAAUUUUUCAGCAUAUUUGCACACCGACUUCCUCUCAGUUGUUCCAGAAAGGAAAGAGAAGUCUGGAAUCUUCUUGAAGAGGAAUGUUUGCAAAUAUCCCAAUGGCGAUGAAUAUUCCACUGCCUGCCAGGCAAUGGAAGGAGUUCAAGUUGUCAAUGGAUUAGAGUGUAAGAUAGCUUGCAAUUCAUCUAAGGUCUCAUAUGUUUUAGAUACAGAAGACCUAUUGUUCCGGGGGAAAAGGAAAAGGGACACUUACAGCUCAUGCCAUGACCAGGCAAAGUCUUCAAGCAGUUCAAGUAGACGACAACGGUUUCAGAGACUGCUUUCUAGCUGGAUAAUAUGACUUCCUUUGACCCCAAGUAGAUAUGAUUUGUUGUAUCAGGGUGUGAGGGUCUGUGGGCGGUGGGAGUUCUACCUCUUGCUGCAGUUGAGGCUUUUGUCGGUCAUAAGAGGCAUGGUUGGGAGGGGGACGGAAGGAAACGUUGUGAAUGACCCAAAUAAAAUGUUCUGGAAUAGUUUAAUUUAAGUUUGAAGUUGAUAUACUGAGUCUUUGCACUGUUUGAAGAAACAGGAGUAGUUUUUUGCACGCUUCAGUUACUCAGGCUACCGGAGUUGGAAAGAUAACGGCGCCACGAAGGGAAAAGCUUUCGUGGAAUCAUCCUUCAUGUAUUCUCACAUUUCUGUCACACCGAGCAAAUAAGAGGGGGGAUAACGCUCGACGGUUGUAGCAUACUCCAUGUUUUUGUGGCGUUUCUAGCCACAAUAAAUGUAAAUAGAGGUAAUUUGUGAUGUAAACUUGAGCUAUGCGUGGGUUCCAUUCAUCGAUAUUAUUGUUAAAUCUUUUUUGUAUUUUUUUCCACCUAGGAGAGAUUCCCAUGUUCUUGACAUUAAUCACAAGAUCGAUCUCUCUCUC